CAUAUCAGAAUCAGAUAAGAGAUAACACUUAAUAGUUAAUAGUAGAAAGCAAAUAAGAUGAUAACAAGGUCCAGUACAAUAGUGCACAUAAGGCCAUAACAAGGUCCAUGAAAGUUCAAACAAGGAUAAAAAAGGUAAUAAGAAGGUCCACGAAACAAGAAUAACAAGAUUCUUGCUCUUUGAUUCUCUCACAAGUCACAACCAAAAGUCUAAAGUAGAAUUCUUCUCUCACAACUCACAACACCAAUCAGCAUAAGAUUCAAGGUUGCAUAUGAUCUUCCUCACCAUUGUCAUUGGUUUCUUCUAACCCAACCCCAUCAUCAUUAGACUCGAACUCUAUCUCAUCCUCAUUGAUAGGCACAACGUCAAUUUCAUCAUUAGAAACAAACUCUUUCACUUCAUGUAGUUAUCUCACCCUUAGACUUCUACGAGGCUCCAUUGCAUUGUCAUAUUCGGCUUCCUCCAUUUCAACAUCUUCACAUAUCCUAUCUUGGGUUGUGGAAGCAUCUUCACCAAGGAGGACAUCAGAAGAUGAUGAGUACUUCUUUCUCUUGUCUAGCAUUCUUCCAUUGAACUGAACAUAAACUAGAUCGUCCCUACAACGCACAUCCACUUUAUUUGUUCUCUUUUCAUGUAC
rnacentral:lncRNA from 1 species